AGUGAACGCUGGCGGUAGGCCUAACACAUGCAAGUCGAACGGCAGCACAGUAAGAGCUUGCUCUUACGGGUGGCGAGUGGCGGACGGGUGAGGAAUACAUCGGAAUCUACUUUUUCGUGGGGGAUAACGUAGGGAAACUUACGCUAAUACCGCAUACGACCUACGGGUGAAAGCAGGGGAUCUUCGGACCUUGCGCGAUUGAAUGAGCCGAUGUCGGAUUAGCUAGUUGGCGGGGUAAAGGCCCACCAAGGCGACGAUCCGUAGCUGGUCUGAGAGGAUGAUCAGCCACACUGGAACUGAGACACGGUCCAGACUCCUACGGGAGGCAGCAGUGGGGAAUAUUGGACAAUGGGCGCAAGCCUGAUCCAGCCAUACCGCGUGAGUGAAGAAGGCCUUCGGGUUGUAAAGCCCUUUUGUUGGGAAAGAAAAUCAGCAGGUUAAUACCCCGCUGUUCUGACGGUACCCAAAGAAUAAGCACCGGCUAACUUCGUG
rnacentral:rRNA from 1 species